AGUUUUCUUGCGGGAAGAUUUGAGCCGUUGGUGAGAUACCACUCUAACAAUGCUAGGAUUCUAACCCUAUGUCGUUAUCCGGCUAGGGGACAGUUUCAGGUGGUCAGUUUGACUGGGGCGGUCGCCUCCUAAAAGGUAACGGAGGCGUGCAAAGGUUCCCUCAGGCUGGUUGGAAAUCAGUCGUAGAGUGUAAAGGCAUAAGGGAGCUUGAUUGCAAGACAUACAAGUCGAACAAAGACGAAAGUCGGCCUUAGUGAUCCGGCGGUACCGAGUGGAAGGGCCGUCGCUCAACGGAUAAAAGUUACUCUAGGGAUAAC
rnacentral:rRNA from 1 species